rnacentral:misc_RNA from 1 species
ACUUCCGUGUACCUUCAUAUACCUGCGGCAGCCAAAAAGUUAAGUAGCUCCGUUUCAGUCACAGAAAGCCAUCCAUAAGUAGUAAAAAUCACAAUAAUUGUUUCAUCUGGGCUCAUUUCCAAUCAAAAUGAGCAUUGAUGCCGUUAACCUAUAAUUGAUUGUAGACUUAAAGAGUCAAGGUUAGAUACAACAACAGAAAACAUAACACCCUCAGGAAAUUGCGCAAAAAGUCGCUAAAGAAUUAGAAUCAGUUAUGAAAUGAUGCAAUUCCAACCGAAAAAUCCACAUAAACCAACAAGGGACAGCUCAGUUUUUUGGUUCAAUUCUUGUAAUUUUGGAUUCUGGAGAAAAUACCUAUAACAAAUCGAUCGAGCAGUUUGUUUCAAUUUGGUUUUUCUGUUUAAUAUAGCUCGGUUUUAUUUACAAAAUUACUUUUUAAUUAUUUUGAAAACCGACCCCACCAAUUAGACAGCCCCAACAGUACAAGCAUAAAAUAAAGCGGUAAAACGAUUGAGCAGCAAACAGCUAUUACGCUAUUAUCUAUCACCAAUGCACAGAGGAUACCUUAAAGGCUAGAAUCUUAGCGGCUAAUCGAACGCUGCUAGGAAAUCAUCUCAGCUAAAAUUUAUAAAUAAAUAGAAAACAUUAAGCAGCUCAACUAGGAGCGCAUUCCGUUUCAAUUCCAAAGAUUACAGUAACUGUCCAAUGAUUAAAAAGGAAAAAAAAUAAUUGAGGAAUAUUACGCCAUAAACUUCAAGAUUCGAAAACUGAACAAUCGAUCCAAAACUAGAAUUGUCUAAAUCUUUCUUAGGGAAAAAAAAAAAGAAUCACCCUCUCUAACUAGAAAAAUGAACUAAAAACCAAAAAAAAGCCAGUGAUUUCAAAGUUCAAAGAAAAAGAAUCGCAGUGUGUUACCUUUUUAUCAAGAAAUACAAG